rnacentral:rRNA from 1 species
UAAUACGAGGGGGGCGAGCGUUGUUCGGAAUUAUUGGGCGUAAAGGGCGCGUAGGCGGUCGGACAUGUCUUGUGUGAAAUCUUCGGGCUUAACUCGGAGUCUGCACGAGAAACUAUCUGGCUUGAGUGUGGGAGAGGUGAGUGGAAUUCCUGGUGUAGCGGUGAAAUGCGUAGAUAUCAGGAGGAACACCUGUGGCGAAAGCGGCUCACUGGACCACAACUGACGCUGAGGCGCGAAAGCUAGGGGAGCAAACAGGAUUAGAUACCCUGGUAGUCCUAGCCCUAAACGAUGAUCGCUUGGUGUGACGGGUACCCAAUCCCGCCGUGCCGAAGCUAACGCGUUAAGCGAUCCGCCUGGGGAGUACGGUCGCAAGGCUG